GAUGAACGCUGGCGGCGUGCCUAAUACAUGCAAGUCGAGCGAACAGACGAGGAGCUUGCUCCUCUGACGUUAGCGGCGGACGGGUGAGUAACACGUGGAUAACCUACCUAUAAGACUGGGAUAACUUCGGGAAACCGGAGCUAAUACCGGAUAAUAUAUUGAACCGCAUGGUUCAAUAGUGAAAGACGGUUUUGCUGUCACUUAUAGAUGGAUCCGCGCCGCAUUAGCUAGUUGGUAAGGUAACGGCUUACCAAGGCAACGAUGCGUAGCCGACCUGAGAGGGUGAUAGGCCACACUGGAACUGAGACACGGUCCAGACUCCUAAGGGAGGCAGCAGUAGGGAAUCUUCCGAAAUGGGCGAAAGCUUGACGGAGCAACGCCGCGUGAGUGAUGAAGGUCUUCGGAUCGUAAAACUCUGUUAUUAGGGAAGAACAAAUGUGUAAGUAACUAUGCACGUCUUGACGGUACCUAAUCAGAAAGCCACGGCUAACUACGUG
rnacentral:rRNA from 1 species